AUCCAAAGUGUAUUAGGAGUAGGUUAGGUUAUGUGUAUUAUAUAUAGGGCUCAUUGUAUCAUGUUUUAAUAUCAAUAUAUAUAUUUUUCUCCCGUGCUUUCUCACAUGGUAUCAGAGCUUCAAUGAGAAUAUUAUAGAUGUGCGUCAUUCCAGCUACUUCCGGGAAGAAAGACCUCGUCGCCGUGCAAUUUUCCGGCGACUUAAGAGGCUGUCCGAACUAAACCACCUUUUUUGUUGGUGUUGUGCAAAAUCCAAGACCACCACGAGGUUCGGCUCGAAAUUCCGACCAAACCCCAGAAAUUUCUCCGGCAGAUUCUUCCACACGCCCGCCAGAGCUGUCGGCGCGUCAGACCACGCGCCGGCGCGUGAGGUGCUUUCCGGCCAGUUUUUCAGGUUGAGUCUUCAGGACAGUUUGGUCGGCUCUCAAUUCCG
rnacentral:lncRNA from 1 species